CUAACCCUAACCCUAACCCUAACCCUAACCCUAACCCUAACCCUGUUUUUCAGCCCCCCCUUCCCACCCCCUCCACCACAUCCUCAUAGACAAAAUUCCUUUUAUUUCUUUCAGUGAUGGUUUUUAACCCACUCUUCCCUCUCACAUACUUAUUAGGGUUAGGGUUACAUUUUAUCACAUAGGGACCAGAGGACUGGGGCAAUUUCAAUUGCCCAGUAAAAUUCUUUACAAAACCACUGUUUACCAUGAUUACUUUGACACUCAUUUGAAUAUCUGGCUUGUGAUUGGCUGUCUUUCUACUUUCAUUAUCUUUGGAACUAAAGAUCCGAAUUGCAAGGGAGUGGUGUCAAAUUUUACUGCUAAUACUCUUUCAUGAACUAUGGGUUAACACUAACCCUAAAAGGAUUAUACAGAUUUUCUGAUUUACGAGUAACCAUCUAAUCUGCUUGUAUGCAAACUUCCCCAGGCAAACACCAGAUCAUGAUUUGCUGCAUAUACGGUUGGCUAUUUUGACAACCCAAACUGAAAUGCAUGCUGGGUAAUCAACCAAAGUAGAACCCAUGAGGCAAUACUCAGGGCCAAUGCUAUGCUGAAUCCUGUGGGUACCAUACCAACCAAGCCUAUUUAUUUGUUAUUAAACUUUUUGGAAUCGUUCCUGGAGCUUGUCAACUCCCUUGUUGGUGGACAACAGUUUAACUGAGCUUUUUAUGGCCUGGGGAGCAUAUUGAUCCAUUUUGAGUGCCUGGGACAAACUUUUAUCCAUGUUAAGGUCAGGGGUUAGGGUUAGUGUCAUUGUAAUGUGAUUGUGUAUAAGAUUGAGAUCAACUCAAUAGCCCCACUACAACCUCCAGGAGAGACCUGUAAAGACACACCGUUCACAGCCUCUUAAUUUCUGGCCUCGACUUUUUCUAAUAUCGCCUCUUGGUUUUUUGAAUACUUAUUAAUGUCACCGAUAGAACAAUCAUAUAUGCCAAUAAUCUAGGAGACUAAAGCUAUGCACUGCUGCUGAAAUCAACUAGAUAGCCCAAUUACAACCCCUGGGAAAGACUUGUAAAGACAUGCCAUUUACAGACCAUUCAUUUCGGGUUUCGUCUUUUUCUAUGUAUUCUGUUUUUGUCGUUUUUUUCCUAUGUUGAGACCUCCAAAACAAAUACAUUAUUGUAUUUUUCUAAUUAACAAUUUAUAAUAAAUA
ensembl:lncRNA